UACAGCUGCAAGCUGCAUUUCAGAAACAUUUUCCACCAGCUGUAAUUUCAUCAGCAUCAUUUUUGACUUUGCUUCGGUCACCCCAUACUCCAGCCUACAUGUGCUUUCGACUGGCUUGACUGCGCUUCCUCCCCUGUAUGCUCUGCCCUUUCCUGCCCUCACACCCCCCUCCUGAUGUACCCACCAAAUCUGCUUGGCUCAGCAGCAGUGAAAAUACAGAGCUACGCCAUCUUGCCAGUGCUUAGCCAUAGGCUUGCAAAGAAGUAAGCGUGCAUCAGGCCUGGAUUAGUGGUUUCCAAAGCAAGCUUUUCAGUCACAAUAUAGCUAAAAGCUCUUAGUCAAGCUCUAAAUGUUAUUAACGCAAUAAGCAAUGUUAGAACAGGAAUCUUUUUCCACUGGAAAAUAUCAACUUGAAAAAAAUAAUUGCCUGAGGGAUGUGUUUGGUACAUUUCAAAAUUUCAAGGGAAACAUUUUUGAAAUGACUUUUAGAAGCUUUAUGUCAAAGUAAAAUUUAUGCUAUUUAGAGUAAAGGUCUAUUUUUUUUCAUGCAGGUUUUUUAAAUGAUUAAGAGAAAGUGUGUUCAGUAAAACUUAUUUUGGAUUUUCAAAUUCUCCAGUUUAAUUUGAGAAUUAAAUUCCUAUUAAUUUGAGGCUGAGGAAAAAAAAAUCAGCAUGAAUUUUAUCUUGCAAGCUUAGAAUAUACAACAGAUGAUUCAUACUUUGCAGAACCUUUUUCUUCCCCUUACUCCCCAGGAACUUUUGAACUAGUUGUCUGAUCUCAGCUAAGUGCUACUGAUAGAAGAAAGUUUUGCUUUCUUCUGAUAGGAAGACUGCAAUGUGAAGCACCUGUUACUAAAAGUCAGGCAAACCUCUUGGAACUGAGCAUAGCCCAGAGGAAACCAGACUUUGCUAGUGCUUUUCAUGAAACCAUGCAAACUUGGUGUUCUGGGUCUGCAAUAAAGACUUCAUGCCCAGCUCUAAUAUCAUAAAUGAGAUGGAAUCUACAAGUUAUAGGUAAGAAGGAGACUGCUGAAGGAAGAAAUGAAGGAACCAGAAAGUGUAUCUCUGGUUGACACUCCGAGUAAAAGCAGAGUAACUUUGAAGGCGUGAAUCUGUAAAGAAGUUACACCCUCACUAAACACAAGUAGGUGUGACUAAGGAGCUUGUGCUGUUUUCUGUCUCUACUCUGCUUCAUGCUCUUGGACAGGCUGUUACAUUUCUUUCCUUUUGGAUAUCUUUGUUAGGUGGUGUGGACUUCUCACUUGCAUGUUUAUUCAGCAUCUAUCACAGUGGGAGGCCCUGGAUGUGACUGUAAUACAAACAACACUGACAAAUCUGUGUUUCCAUGGACAGUGCAAAUACAUACUGCUGUCUAGAUCUUCUGCGCUCAGUGCAGAAGCACUAGGAUAACUCAUGUCACACCUCUAAAUUUGGUUCCCUGGUAUUCCUGGGACUAAUGCCAGACGACAGCGUAUGCCUUCAUUUAAGGCACAGAGAUGGCUUCUAGAAUGGCUUUUCCUCUUUGCUGGACCAUGGAACUAUGCUCAGGACUUCACUUAUUACCGGUCUCUUCCUUUGGAUUAAAUUGUUCUCUGUGAAAAAUACUCUGCAGCCUUUUCUUCAUCAAAGCCCAGUUUUUUUGAUUGCCAAAUAGAAAGCAAGAAUUCCCAAGAGGCUCCUUAGACUGGAAUACCAACAUGAUGGGUAGAAGAGCUUUGCAAGACCAGUGAGAAAACUGUUAAGCCUCACCUUUGCUUGGCAUGGUUAAGAGAAAUUUAUUUCUCUGCUGUGAUGUUUGUUUGGGCCACAUAGUGCUUUUUAAGCACCGCCAUCAAAUCUUCUUAGUUUGAAGCACCUGAGUCUUGAGGGAAACAUCAGUCUUCCAGGACUACUACUGCCUCUCUUCUGAACAGAGUUUGGAAAAUGGAUUUUUUUUUUCAUGAAAAUCUUCAGUAGUGUCAAAAUGAAAAUACUGCAACAGCCUUUAAGCAUAAACUUUGGCCUCAUCUUCUUUUCAGUAAAUUGAAACUAUCUUCCCAUGCAAUAUUGCCUGUAUAUUAUUUCUUGAUCUUGAUGCUGCUGUCUUAGGUUGGACAUCUGUUUAGUCCCAAACAAGUGUUCCAGUCACCUGAUUCCAUGCUCUCUCCACAUCAAGAUUUCUCUUAAUUCCAGAUCAAUAUAAUAUAUACUAUAUUUUUAUUGGACUGGACUACCAUCUCUGCGAUCACUGAGCACAUCCUCUUUCCAAAGGUAUGCUUUGCUCAAAUUCCCAAAUACAUUCCUGCAGACUUCUCAUAUGCUGACCUUCCACAUGUAGUUGUAGACCUUCAGAUAUGAAAUGGCAGUUCCUAAAGUUCCACGCAUCCAUAAAAGCAGCAUUUCUCCUUCUGGGCUUGAGAAGAACUUGUACCACCCCAUGCUUCCUAUACAUUUCAGCUCAAGCUCAUCUCUGAUUAAGAGCAAAAAGGUGCUUUCCAGUGUGCAUGGGAAGAUCCCUCUCUCAAGCUAUGCUUUCACUUAGGAUGUGUCUGAAGAUGUCUCUACAAUGAAUGUCUCCCUGCAGUGUUCCCGAGAAGGGAAUUGUGUGCUGCUUUGACACUCAGUUUCUAGCUUAGAGUUGCAGGAGAAAGGCUGAAAGAUCCAUCUCCCUCUUGAAGCUGGAUGGAUGAACUGAAGCAGCAGACAGAGCCUGGAGGGAGAAAGGAAAGAACUGCAUUCAUAAGUUUAUCAUAGAUCUAUACAGCAGCAAGACAGACAUCUCUGUCCGGUCUUCCUGAUAUACAUCAAAUUCAAGACCUCUUGCAAAAGCUCCGCUGUGGACACAGAAUGCAUUCCAGGAGAGGAAAAGCAUUUUACACCUUUACUGCUGGUCAUUGCUUGGGUUAGGCUAUCACAGAGCACAUCUGUGAUGCACAGGAUCACCCAACAUGACAGAGUACUGUGGGGAAAUGAAGAAAUGCGUGUUUGAGAUGUGAUUCAGAAGAGACUAUCAAAAGGAAAGUUAAUUGAAUCCAGGAAUACUUCAAUCAAGCUGGGUGUAGGCCAAAAAGCUUGCUUGUAGACCUUAGAGAUGUUCAGAUAUUGAUACAAACCUUGCAGCUUAGUUUGAGCCUUGGAACAUUAUUUCCAACUCUUGAAGACUGGUCUGAACCUUAAUGGAGUGAGAAGUAGAAGUAAAAUUAUCUCCCUGCUUCAUAUUUGACUCCUAUGCAUUUCUCUAAUGUAUGCUGUCUAUCUGCCAUGAGAGACAAAAGCCUUCACAGAAUCAGAGUCACAGAAUCACAGAGGUUGGAAGAGACUUCCAGAGAUCAUCAAGUCCAACCCCCUGCUAAAGCAGGUUCCCUACAAUAGGUUGCACAGGUAGGUGUCCAG